rnacentral:rRNA from 1 species
UACGUAGGGGGCUAGCGUUGUCCGGAAUCAUUGGGCGUAAAGCGCGUGUAGGCGGCCCGGUAAGUCCGCUGUGAAAGUCGGGGGCUCAACCCUCGGAUGCCGGUGGAUACUGUCGGGCUUGAGUACGGAAGAGGCGAGUGGAAUUCCUGGUGUAGCGGUGAAAUGCGCAGAUAUCAGGAGGAACACCGAUGGCGAAGGCAGCUCGCUGGGACGGUACUGACGCUGAGGCGCGAAAGCGUGGGGAGCAAACAGG